GCAUGCCUACGGGGCGCAGCAGUGAGGAAUAUUGGUCAAUGGGCGGAAGCCUGAACCAGCCAAGUCGCGUGAGGGAAGAAGGCCCUGCGGGUCGCAGACCUCUUUGGACGGGGAGCAAGGCCGCCGACGUGUCGGCGGAAGGAGAGUACCCGUAGAACAAGCAUCGGCUAACUCCGUGCCAGCAGCCGCGGUAAUACGGAGGAUGCGAGCGUUAUCCGGAUUUAUUGGGUUUAAAGGGUACGCAGGCGGCACGGCAAGCCGGCGGUCAAAUCCCGGGGCCCAACCCCGCCCAGCC
rnacentral:rRNA from 1 species